rnacentral:lncRNA from 1 species
CCUUAGCAUCAAUGUUGUUCGUGACUUGGUUAACCAACAAUUGGGAGUCAUUGAAGAUAUCAAUUUGUUUAACUCCAAGGUGUUUGGCCAAAUGUAAGUUUGCCCGGAGGGCUUCGUACUCGACCUCAUUGUUUGGCGCUUAGAAUUUGAAACGAAUAGCAUACUCCAUCGCUACUUUGUCGGGGGUAGUAAAGACUAGUCUUACUCCACAACCCUGUUGGUUGAAUGAGCCAUCAACAUACAAAGUUCAUACUGGGAAUGUUGGUUCUACCUUCCGAGCUUCUAAGGGUAACGAAGCCACUGUUGUAGGUGUAGAAGCAAUGUCAAUAAGAUAUGUUCAAACUCACCCAAUGCUAUCGCCCAUUUGAUCAUUCAUCCUAAAGUGUCAGGACUUUGGAGUAUCUGUCGAAGAUGGUGAUUGGUAAGCACAAUGAUGGAAUGUGCUUGGAAGUGAGGGUGAAGUUUUCGAGUAGACAUGACCAAUGCUAGAGCUAAUUUCUUAAUGUUGGAGUAUCGUGUCUCCGCAUCUUGUAAGGCAUUGCUAG